rnacentral:rRNA from 1 species
UACGAAGGGGGCUAGCGUUGCUCGGAAUUACUGGGCAUAAAGCGCACGUAGGCGGAUCUUUAAGUCAGGGGUGAAAUCCUGGAGCUCAACUCCAGAACUGCCUUUGAUACUGAGGACCUUGAGUUCGGGAGAGGUGAGUGGAACUGCGAGUGUAGAGGUGAAAUUCGUAGAUAUUCGCAAGAACACCAGUGGCGAAGGCGGCUCACUGGCCCGAUACUGACGCUGAGGUGCGAAAGCGUGGGGAGCAAACAGG